GCAUGGGUGAUUUGGAUAUAAUAUUUAUCAAUGCUGAUUACCUGGAUUGCUUUGGCUGAUCUGGCUAGCCUGGAGGGUUUUUCCAUUCUUCCCUUACUGUUGCAUAUGUUUUCUUUCUGAAACCUUUUCUCUGUCAAAGAGAACAACAUUUUCUACUAGCAGAAGGGGGAAAGCAACAAAGCAAAAGUUCUCCUUUUCAAAAAAGCUAAAAAAUCGCAUUUUU
rnacentral:lncRNA from 10 species